rnacentral:rRNA from 1 species
UACAGAGGGGGCAAGCGUUGUUCGGAAUUACUGGGCGUAAAGGGCGCGUAGGCGGCCUGUUAAGUCGGACGUGAAAUCCCCGGGCUCAACCCGGGAACUGCGUCCGAUACUGGCAGGCUUGGAUCCGGGAGAGGGAUGUGGAAUUCCAGGUGUAGCGGUGAAAUGCGUAGAUAUCUGGAGGAACACCGGUGGCGAAGGCGGCAUCCUGGACCGGCAUUGACGCUGAGGCGCGAAAGCCAGGGGAGCAAACGGG